UAGAUUGAAGCCAAAGAACAGGCGUUUAGCUGUUAACUAAGAAGUAGCAGGGUAGGUUCCUGCCAAUCUAG
rnacentral:tRNA from 1 species